UUUGUGACGCGUGGCGAUUUGUUACCGGAUUGCGGGCCACGUUAAAUAAGCUGCUAAAAGGGUUUGGGAUAUGACAGA
rfam:Planktomarina temperata RCA23, complete genome.